UACAGAGGAUGCAAGCGUUAUCCGGAAUGAUUGGGCGUAAAGCGUCUGUAGGUGGCUUUUUAAGUCCGCCGUCAAAUCCCAGGGCUCAACUCUGGACAGGCGGUGGAAACUACCAAGCUGGAGUACGGUAGGGGCAGAGGGAAUUUCCGGUGGAGCGGUGAAAUGCGUAGAUAUCGAGAGGAACACCUGCGGCGAAGGCGGGUUGCUGGGCCGACACUGACGCUGAUGCGCGAAAGCUAGGGGAGCGAACGGG
rnacentral:rRNA from 1 species